GUGACACAACUCAAAGUUGUUUGCGUUGGUCUGGUUUCCUCCCCCGAAAGUAAAAAGUUUAUAAGCAGUUGAAUCAUUCAUCGCAUGCCUGAACGGAAUGAAUAAUUUAUAAAUGAGGAAGAGAGCAUGUUAUUAAAAGUUGCUUUUUUCCAAAGUUAACGGCCUAUACACAGGUCUUGCCCCCCAGAGGAAUGUUUUCGCGAAAAGAGUUAAAUUUUUGACGAUAGUGAGUGGGUUAAUUCUUUUAUUUUCCUCUCUAAUAGAGCAAAAACGAGUAUAAUAUAUGUAGAAUUGUGGGCACCUGCGGAAUAAUUCAAGUUUUGCUCGAAAAACAUUCGAAAUGUGUUGCUAUACAAAAAGUAAAUGUUCGUGUUAAGUAAAGAAGAACGUCAUUACCAGGGUCUUAUGUGCUGCAACUUUACUUGGGAUUGAUUUCUUCCGCUUUGACGUACACAAUAGAUGAUGCGAAAUAGUAUGUAGGAAUCUGAAGGGACUCGACAAAUUUUAAAGUGUGACAAAACCGUUGAGACCGUCCAGAGUUAAUUGUUAUCAAGCAUAAAGUCAACGCUAUAACCCGAAAAUGGUAAAAUUUGGCGCAUAGGUUAACCAACUCGAGAUUAGUUUCGAAAUAUUCCGUUACUACGGUUAUCAAAUAGGAGAAGAACCUUAACUACUUCAGUAACUUUUAACCUAAAAUUGAGUCAACUCUAAGCCGCGUGCUAUUUUCGAAUGAAGAUGAAAGAUUGGAAGAUUGGUAGUUUUCAAAACAAUUGGAACUAUCCUGGCAAUUAAUUUUCAGGCAGGCAGAUAGAGAGAGAAUAUUAUAGCGACAAUGAUCAUCUUCGCUUUCCUUUUGCCUGUAUUUGUUGCCAAUUCUGGAAAAGAAUGCUCCAAAAAACAGAGAACCAUGAGCUCAGCCCAUCAGCAUAACAGUCUAACGGAGUCAUAAGCACCGAUAACCGUGAAUUUCCGAGCAGGCCCUUACAUAAAAAUUGAAGAUUAUUUAGCUGGUAAAACCAUAGCUCGGAGAAAAUGCAAAUACUGAAGCAGAUUAUUUAACAUGAAGAUGCCUGGCAAAAAUCAUGCAACGCAAACCCAAGCUCCGGUUCAGUACAUUAUCAUAAAAAAGUCUCUCCUCACGAAGGUCCGCUGCUGACUGAGUAGCUUCAAUUUGGAACAUGACUGUUGUGUGUUGUGUUUUCGAUCGCAGUACAAAAUAGGAUAACAUUACUUUUGUUUUUAGCAAUUUCUCCGCAAAUCAUGGUAAAGCAAUUGUUAUUAUCCGCUCUCACCAUCCACAUAAUUCAAACUAAGUACUUUGAAGAAAGUGGCAAUCGUAAUCGUCAUACU